rnacentral:lncRNA from 1 species
GACCUGCCUGGACCUCUUGACCUUUAACAACGCUCAAACAGGAAACACAUGUUGGAGGAGGAGACCACAAGCUAAUUGUAAGCAUCAACUAUUUGUUAGCUAUCAAUCUUGUCCUUUGAGCAUAUAUACUUUAUAUCUUAAACCAUUAUGCAUGAGCUUUUUAGGAUGAUUUGGAUGAGUGGAUCAGAGGACGACAUGAGCAGGUAUUUCCAUUUGAUCAUACCCAAAAUGAUAAUGUAUACACUAACUUAAGAUGAUGGCUCUUCUACUCUGCUAACAUAACAUGCAUGUGCUUGUGUGGAGUGCCUGCAAAAUUAAUAGCUCAAGUCUCUCAACACGCGGAUGGAUGAUGUUGUGGAGAGGGCCAUCGAGAGGGGGUUUGCAUUGCCAAAGUUGAAGGUGGCCAUCGCCUUGACCUGCCUGGACCUCCUGACC